ACUUGGUUUGGGGGUGGAAUAGCAUUACCACAGCUAGCAGAAGAGUCUGAUUCUUCUUUAUGUACCAGGUCUGCUAAAUGGAGAGGAGAUAUUAUUGAGAAGUGAUUGUUGUGCUGCAUUGCUGCGGGAAAUCUCAGAGGGGAAAAAUGUGCCAUGCUGCAAAUUUAAUCGCCUGUAGGUAAGCACCACCUCAUCUAGCUGCAGCUGUUGCUGAGCUGUGCUGCAGAGCCAAGGACGUUUCUGCUUCUUCUGUUGUCCUGCCAGCAAGGAGCUGGAGGUGCACAAGAUACUGGAAGAGGACACUGCCAGGACAGCUGACCUAAACUGCCCAAAGGAAUGUUCCUUACUGGCUGACAUAAGUCAAUGAGUGGGCACUGAGCAAAUGGCUGAGUGGUGGUGAGCUGCCUGACAGGUUAAACCACAAUAUACUCCAGGUCGCACCAGCUUUCUGAGGGUUGUGGCAGGAGUAACAGAUGCAACAAUUCAUGGAAGUUUUAUUUUUAGAUGCAAAUCUCAGCACUGGGGCAGAUCUUUGGCAUAUGUCAGGGCAGUUUUAUUGACUGAAGUUUAUUCUAUAUCAAUACAAGCUUACCUGAAAAUGUACUUUUGGGAUUAUUCUCUCCACAUUCACAGAGAAACAGAUUUAUCCAGUGAAAAAAAUUCUGUUUAUUCAGACAUGCUCUACAGUGUACCAUUCCUCAUCUACAAGAGUAAAAAUGUUGAACUU
rnacentral:lncRNA from 1 species